UCUUUCCUACGGGAGGCAGCAGUGAGGAAUAUUGGUCAAUGGGCGAGAGCCUGAACCAGCCAAGUCGCGUGAGGGAGUACUGCCCUAUGGGUUGUAAACCUCUUUUGUCGGGGAGCAAAGCGAGUCACGUGUGACUCAUUGAGAGUACCCGAAGAAAAAGCAUCGGCUAACUCCGUGCCAGCAGCCGCGGUAAUACGGAGGAUGCGAGCGUUAUCCGGAUUUAUUGGGUUUAAAGGGUGCGCAGGCGGAGGUGCAAGUCAGCGGUCAAUUUGCGUGGCUCAACCCCGGACUGCCGUAGAAACUGG
rnacentral:rRNA from 1 species